AGGAUGAAGGAUACCCCGAUC
rnacentral:misc_RNA from 1 species